rnacentral:lncRNA from 1 species
UCUUUCUUUAAGACAAAACUCGUCUCAUGCUAACUAUUUGAGAAUUGAAGGAAGAAGUUUGUGAUCUCAAUUCUAAGCUUGAUGGCAUGAUCAAGUUUGUUUGCAUGUUGAAUUCUGAAACUUGAAGCCUUUAUGAAAUUAUAGGUAUGGUAAAAUCAUCAAAUGACAUGAAGAGAAUUGGAUAUAUUGGUGAUUCAUCCAAUUCAAAGAAUAUGUUUGUUACACCUGUUCAGAAAACAAAAUUCACAAUGUAUGGUUA